GGAAAGACCGAGCAGAAAGUGUUGAUAGAUACAAUGCGGAUGACAAGAGACCUAGAGUUUCUGACAAGAGGAGGACCGAGGACGACAAUGGUAGGGAUAAGCGGAGAGAUGAUGAUGGAGAUUGGAGGGAUAAGGAUGAGGAGAGAAGAGAGAAAAGGAGGUUUGAGGGUAAAGCAAAGGAGGAGGAGGAUGUUGAAGUUGAUGAAGAAAGGGGGGGAGGUGGAUUGCAAAUGCCAACUUCUAAGAAAGAGCCAACUGAUAAUGUCCAGGAUCAGGCUGUUGGUUCCAUUGCUAAGGGUGAGACAAUGGGAUCAUACAAGGUGACAUCAAGGAAU
rnacentral:misc_RNA from 1 species